GACGCGCGGCGGGGCUGAGCGGGUGGGGCGGCGGCGCGGCGGGGCUAUAUAGCGGGAGGGCUGCUGCGUUGGCAAGAACCGCACAAAAGGGGCCCGCGGAGGGGAGCAAGGGCAUUUUCGUGUUCUCUUUUUAUUCUUUGCUGUCCUAGUCCGCGGGGCUCAUUGUGGAUUUUGGUCCCAUUCUCUCUGGAGUGUUCGGAUUACUAUCAUUGGCUGAUGCUAUUGAGAAUGUUUGUAAAAAGUGUGAUGGGGCCUGCGGCCGCACAGCCAGUCUAUAUAGCAGGAUGGCUGCUGCGUUGGCAAGAACAACACAAAAGGGGCCCUCGGCGGUUUAUCCGUGUUCUAGUCUCCCUUCCCUACGGGUAAGAUUUCUUGAGAUAACUAAUCACAAAAUUAA